rfam:Fukomys damarensis contig159615, whole genome shotgun sequence.
GCUUGCUUCCACAGAAAUAUACUAAAAUUGGAAUGAUACAGAGAUCAGCGUGGCCCCUGCGCAAGGAUGACAUACAAAUUUAGGAAGUGUUCCAUAGUUUA